rnacentral:lncRNA from 1 species
UUGACCCAUUUACCAUUUAGAUACUUCAAGUUUUAUUAAGUGUAUCAAGUAAACAUAAUGGUUCCGAUGUGGCAUUUGCGUGUUUGUUAAUAUUUUGAGCGCGUGAAGUCAUUUUUUCUGCCUAACUUUCUUUUUUCUUUGAAAGAAAGACAAGGACUUAGCCUCUCUUCUUCCCUUCUUCUUAACAAAACCACCUCAACCCAGCAUGAAACCACCAUAAAGGUAAGAAAAACGUAUUUUUAACAUCUGAUCUGCUUGAUUGAUUUUACCAAAAAAGGCAGAUAUGUAGCAACACUAACAAGACCGAGUGACCAGUUGACGAUACCUCACCAAUUGUUUCCUUGUUUGCAUCACCUUCUUUAAUUCCUUUCCGAUAGAAUCAUUUUCUAGCUUUCCUUAGAGAAUAAUUUUUUGACAAUGGAAGUCGUAUAAUGAACUUUUUCGAUGAGGUUAAUUAAUGAUCCCUUGAUGGGUUCUCUAUUUGCUAUUCUCUAUUAUUUCAUAUUAGUUUGAAUAUUAACUUGUCAGGGUAAGAGAUUUAAGAAAAGAGGAUGGAGGACAUAACUGAUGCAAAAAAGAAGAUGAAAGGGAGGGAGAGAGGUAAUGUUGGUCUUCACAAAAGUAAAGGAAGAGGGUCAUCUUUAAUGUAUUUUCUUCUUUUUUUAAUUAUGUAUCAUUUUUUAUUGUAAUUUAUAUGUGUCAUUUUUUAAUUAGUUUAUUUGACACGUCAUUGGCAAGUGUAGUUCACGCAUAGAGUCUUCAGUAUUCGGAUGUUUAAUUGAUACACUUAGUAAAUACUUGAAGUGUCUAAAUGAUAUAUGAGCCAAUUAGGGUGUUUGUUUGAUCAUUAAGGACAACUUGAAGGGGCCGUUUAUGUAUUUCACCUAAACAAAAAAAAGAAUAGAAUUAAAAAUGUACCUUAGAUAGUUUUUCUUUUCCACUCUGUAGCAUUUGACAUAAAGAUAUCUCAAACCAUUAAUAGCAUAAUAUAAAGUUAGUAUCAAUCAUAUUAUUUUAUAAAUAUAGAAGUCCUUAUAUAGGUACAUAUGGAGGAACAUAUAACAAGUUGUCAUAAAUUUACUAUAAUGACUCGAUCAGUCCUUUUGAGCUCUAGCACAUUAUUCAG